rnacentral:tRNA from 1 species
AGCGGCGUAAUUCAGGGGUCAGAAUAUUGGAAUCAUAACCCAAAAGUCAAGGGUUCAAAUCCCUUCCCCGCUA